UGGGGAAUAUUGGACAAUGGGCGCAAGCCUGAUCCAGCCAUGCCGCGUGAGUGAUGAAGGCCCUAGGGUUGUAAAGCUCUUUCACCGGUGAAGAUAAUGACGGUAACCGGAGAAGAAGCCCCGGCUAACUUCGUGCCAGCAGCCGCGGUAAUACGAAGGGGGCUAGCGUUGUUCGGAUUUACUGGGCGUAAAGCGCACGUAGGCGGACUUUUAAGUCAGGGGUGAAAUCCCGGGGCUCAACCCCGGAACUGCCUUUGAUACUGGAAGUCUUGAGUAUGGUAGAGGUGAGUGGAAUUCCGAGUGUAGAGGUGAAAUUCGUAGAUAUUCGGAGGAACACCAGUGGCGAAGGCGGCUCACUGGACCAUUACUGACGAUGAGGUGCGAAAGCGUGGGGAGCAAACAGG
rnacentral:rRNA from 2 species